UUUCACGUAAGUCAACAUUUUCAUUAUAGAUUCAAUAUAAUGAUCCUUUUAUAAUUUUCAUUUAUUUUUAUAAAACAUGGUGAGAGAUUUAUGUUAAAGACAUUGGUUUCAGCUUUUUUAAGCAGGGUUUAUCAGGAUGUGCCAGUGUUCCGAACAGCGGACUGUAGAAUACUCAGGGAACAUAACAGCUCAUAACAGCUCAAAGCAGAAGAAGGAGGUUUAAUUAGUGUCAUAAAACCAAAUAUUACUUGCGCUACUUGGCUGUGACUAUAAGAAUGCAAUAAAGUAACACUUAU